AAGUCGUAACAAGGUUUCCGUAGGUGAACCUGCGGAAGGAUCAUUAACACGUAUCCACGUUAUAAACCCUUCGUGCUUUUUUAUUAGUACCUGCCUUCAGCGUGCGGACCCUUUGGAUUGCACGAGUGCCAGAAUGGUCGUGAUGCUCGCAUUACGCGCACUCGUGUGUCUGUUGGUCGUAGCGUAAUUAACGUGCGCCGUUUUACCUACGCUCCUUCGUGGUCUCGCAGAGCUUCCGUCGCAGGCAUUUUUGUUAACCAUUCGGCAAACCUUUAUAUUAACCAAACCCUUUGAAAACAUCUUACUAACGAAACGUUGUCUGCCCUUGGUUGUCUUCAAUGCACAAUUCUCAAGGCAUUCAAUUAUUACGAAACGCUGAACAACUCUUAGCAACGGAUAUCUUGGUUCUC
rnacentral:misc_RNA from 1 species